CGAAUAAUAAACCCGGGCAGGUGGAGCUCGUUAGCCGUGGUAGGCAAUUCAUCUAGGAGAGGGACAACUCCGAUUACAAACCCGGGCAGGUGGAGGUCGUUAGCGUGAGCAGUUCAUCUAGGAGAGCAAACUCCGAUUACAAACCCGGGCAGGUGGAGGUCGUUAGCGUGAGCAGUUCAUCUAGGAGAGCAAACUCCGAUUACAAACCCGGGCAGGUGGAGGUCGUUAGCGAAAGCAAUUCACCUAGGAGAGCAAACUCCGAUUACAAACCCGGGCAGGUGGAGGUCGUUAGCGUGAGCAGUUCACCUAGGAGAAGGAAAACUCUGACCACAAACACGGGCAGGUGGAGGUCGUUAGCCGUGGUAGGCAAUCUGCCUAGGAGAGGGACAACUCCGAACAACAAACCCGGACAGGUUGGGCUCGUGAGCCGUCAUAGGCAAUACACCUAGGAGAGCAAACUCCGAAUAAAAAACCCGGACAGGUUGGGCUCGUGAGCCGUCAUAGGCAAUACACCUAGGAGAGCAAACUCCGAAUAAAAAACCCGGACAGGUUGGGCUCGUGAGCCGUCAUAGGCAAUACACCUAGGAGAGCAAACUCCGAAUAAAAAACCCGGGCAGGUUGGGCUCGUGAGCCGUCAUAGGCAAUACACCUAGGAGAGCAAACUCCGAACAAUAAACCCGGGCAGGUGGAGCUCGUUAGCCGUGGUAGGCAGUUCACCUAGGAGAAGGAUAACUCUGACCACAAACCCGGGCAGGAGGGGGUCGUUAGCCGUGGUAGGCAGUCCUCCUAGGAGAAGGAAAACUCCGAAUUCAAACCAACACACACACACACACACACACAGCCGGGCAGGUGGGGCUCGUUAUAGGCGUCGUAGACAAUCCACCAAGGGGAAUCAACAAAUAAAAGGAUAAUAAAAGCGAACACACGAGAAGAAGAAUAUGAAAUUAGAACCGGACAAAAAAGGAUAAUAUAAGAUGGAACACCGAAUAAAGGAUAGUUAAGAAAACAAAAUCGAAAAAGGCAUAAGAUGCACACGGAUCAUCCAGACUGAAACAGAAGACCAAAAAAUGGAUGGUAUAAAAGGAAAGGAAAAGAGAUAAUGUAAUAAGAACGCACAGAAAACAACGUAGAAAUAAAACACCAAGAAAAGGAAAAUAUAGAAACAACAUCAAUGAUACCGCCGCUCCGUGGGCUUCGUGGGCGGUAGGAGAAUGAAAUGACCCUUUUCGUAGACGCACAAUAUAGUGUGGUCAAACAUGUCAACAAUAACGUUUACCGCCAGGAUCACAAUCAUGACACUCGAAAACGCCCGCGUCUCUGAGCACUACACCGGGCAGCUGAGCACUUCACUUAACAUCGAACGUUCAGCAUUGUAUAUCACUUAUUUCACUUAUUAAU